AUGCCGUUGCACUCUAGCCUGGGCAACAAGAGCGAAACCCCAUCUCAAAAAAAUAAAAUAAGAUACAAGUAAUAAUUCUGUCAUGUUAUCCAUCUUGACAUGCCAUCUUUUCUCUACUGGGAUUCUAAAGACAGUAACAGAGGCCAGAACCACCUUAGAGAUGGAGAGAAUUAAGCAAACAAUGCUAACAGGGCUCAGGUGACUAUAUGACAAGAGGCAGAGUCUCCAAUAAGGCUGCACAUGUGAACUAGCAACCCUCACAGUGUUUUCUGUCAUCUCCAUCUAUGCUGCCUCACACAGCGCUUUUACAGUGGUACACGAGCACUUCAGACCUCUGGUUAAGCUUGGAUACGACAGAACCAGUCAAUGAAAUGGGAUACAAAUAUCCACAGUGUUUUGCUUGGCAAUUAUUUUGUGAAUAGUGAACACUCCUCUUAAAGCCUGAAGUGGACAUCUAUCCGGCACCCCAAAUUUCCUUGGGAAAUCAUAUCUCUUUCAUUCUGUGCUCCUUUGGUUUAAGUGAAGCAAACCUCACUCCAGCCCUAACCUUUGGGAUAAUCAUUUUAUUAAUCAGCACAUCAUGGUCCUAUGGCCAUAGUAAUCCAAUUGUUCAGGGAUGAGUCUAUAAGAGCUGAUAAAAUGUUUUGCAAGGUUCUUGUAAAAUAAAUCUUUUUCUUUCCUGUGGGAUUUAAGGCUCAAAGGAGGAGCUAUUUUUCCAUCUUGUGAUAAAAAGGGAUGAUGUGAAAAUGGGGCCAUCAGAGCAAGGAAGAGGCCAAGAUGGAGAGCUGGAGUCUCUGAGUCCUGAAUCCAGCCAUCCCUGCAGCCACUCCACCUGUGGAUAUGUCUAUAGCAGGCUGGGAUCAGACAGGUUCCCUGUGACUACCAAGAGAACGGUUGUCACUUCUGCCUAUGUAUCUUUCCAGCAGGGCUGGGACCACAUGGGAAGAAAUCUGCUGUCUAUUCCUGUCUACAAUGAUUCAGCAAUGAGGAAACAUUGACAGAGUAUCUGCUAUGUGCUAGUCACUGUAGACUUCCCCAUCUAAUCUCACAACAAACCUGUCAGGUCUAAAAGAGUCAUGGAGAUGCUGUGGUGAGGGGAGAGGCCAGGCUUAGAGACCUUCAAGAUCUUCAACACCCCCCCAACCCCAACUCUGCACUCCAAAUGGCCACUCUCCAAACACACCCCUGGAAAACAACCAAUGCUCCUCAGAGUGUUUGACUCCUGAUACCACUUAUCUGGUGAUAAGAACUUUUGGGCCAGGCACAGUGGCUCAUCCCUGUAAUCCCAGCACUUUGGGAGGCCAAACCAGGUGGAUCACUUGAG
rnacentral:lncRNA from 1 species